GUCAUAGCGACUUUUGGGAUAGUUUGCUAUCGACAAAGGGGGACAAAGUCAAGGGGUGAGGGAAAGGAGGGCCAAGUAGAGCCUCCACGACCCUCGGCUGCCUCCUCACCAGCUCCCCCUCCCCCCAAGUCCAGUAAGAAGUUGGGCCAAGCUGGAAGGGAUUGACCGGGUUGCUUGUCUGGAGAUGGAGCCACUACGGGCAGGGCCUGGGCGCCUGGAGUCGGGCAUGAAAGGAAAUAGCGCCUCAUCGCUCUUAUCUAAGCCCAGAGGUAUUUAUGAGCGUUUAUUCGUCUGAUCCGUUUGUUUGGGAAAAAGAGCAGGCGGGCAGGGCGGGCCAGAGACCGACUCCUUUCUGGAGCCAGAUCCCUACGAAUCUGUCUGUGGUUCGGUCCACCGCCCUCUGUCUGUCUCCAUGGGGGAAUAUGUAAAUACACAGCGGGCUCAGCCAUGCGCCAGUCUGGGGUGUCUCUCCCUGCCUCAACGAGGAAGUGUGUGUUCAGAGAGAUGGAUAGAAGCGUGUACCAAUUCUUGAGUACAUAACAGAGGGAUUGCACAGAUACCCCACAGGCAGGAUUUAUAAUUGUAAUUUUCUAUGCUGUGAGUCUGCAGUCCUGUGGGCAAGCUAACACAUUCCAGCUCCCAGGAAAAUGUUUCCUAAGUUGUGUUCAGUUCAGGAGAAAAAUUCUUGAUAGGUAACCUCAGGAGGGAUAUUUGCCUCUAUGUGUGUGUGUGUGUGUGUGUGUGUGUGUGUGUGUGUGUGUGUAGUGUGUAGGGGGGGUGCUGAGACAUUGUCCAGGCUUCUGAUUUCCUCUAAGCUAUAAGGCCCUCUCCCUCAGCUCUUUGGGGGUGAUGAGCACCUUCCCCCACGACUCCCAACUUUGGCUGGGGUGGGGUGGAAUGAAAAUAAUUCAACUCAAUUCUCACCCUGGACUCUGUUUCUCUGGGUUUGGGGAACAUAAAUAAAUGUUCCCAGGGGUACUGAGUGAUCACUCCCAUAGGUUGAGGAAGGCUCUUUAGAUGAGACACUUUGCCCUAAAAUUGGUCCGUCCAAAUCAAAGUACAAAGACUUCAUUUUCAUUAUGCAAAUGAGCGGCAUCCUCUUUGAUCUUUAGGGGGAGUGAGCAGUAGCGCUGAGCCCAUUCUCCCGGUUUCCUACCCGCACCCAGGGCGCAACCUAAAGGCCCUGAAGUGUUUCAGUACCAUGUACCAGCUUGACUUCUCUACAUGUCUUUUGGAUUGUCCAAAAGUAAAACAAUCUCCGAGGGGCCAAGGACCUUCUAGGGCUGGCUCCGUGGGGGCCUCCUAUAGAGCACCUCGCUGAGCCGGGCCAUAUAGCCACCAGAAAGUCACUCUCGCUGCAGAAAAGCUGAAAAGAGCUGCUCUAGAGGCGCCAAAAGCGGGUAGGGGCCGCAGCCACAGUGUUUGUCCCCAGCACCACCAGGCACCUUAACCUCAUCAGCUCCUCUAGCCCUGGGCCAGACUCUGAGAACACCUUGAUCUGACUGGCACCGCAGGCAAUUUCCUGGAACCCCACCCCCACCCAGGAAUGGGACCACAGCACCUUUAAAGGAACUGCCAGAGCUUCCUCCUACGGCUUGAAAGCCCAAGCUAAUCAGUAACCCGUGAGACAGGGGCCAAUAUUCAAACGCUGCAGCAGAGGCGCAUAGCCUAGCCCUGGCCACCCCCUCUUGGGAAGGUGGUCGAGUUAAGCUGGUGUGAAGGGUCCAACAGGAACAGAAAUUACGACGGUGUGGUUCCUUAAUGAUUUGGCCCCAGUCCACUACCAAAUUUUUCCCAAAUCAUAUUUAGGUCGACUUCGCUUGAAAAGAUCGAGAAUGGGGGAGGGGAUUGACACUCACUUGCAGACAUCAACAGUUUCCAGAAAACUCCGUUCAAUUCCUUCACCACGAACCCACCAACCAAGGAACUGGCGAGACCCACCAGCCAACCAGGAGAACACAGACCCGGUUUGUCUUUUGACAACCGAGUGGAACUGCCGGGGCCGGCGCCUGCCCUGCGGGUCCCCUCCCUUGGCAGGGAAGAAAACCAAAUAAACCUUGAACAGCCUUGGCUUCG